CACAUCAUUACGCUGUCUCCAAACUUUUCAGUGCCAUCGACCAGACCUUCUGCUGCCAACAAGGUGUCCAGAAACACAGCGGUGCUGGGACGGUGUAGCAGGGUUCUCCAGGGAACGAGAACCAGCAGGAGUGUCUUGGAGGAAACAGAUGGCAAAAAGUGCAGAUAUCCAGGUGGGAUGGUUCAAUGCACGGAGCGUCUAUGUCCCGGCCCAGUUCACGUGUUGAAGUCCCAACGCUCAAUGUGAUGGUAUUAGGAGCCUUUCUUCCCUAGACUUCUAAGUAACAGGCCAAUUUAGCAAGCGGACAUCAACCAUUCCUUCCCACCUGGGACGCUGUUCUUCACCCUGCCUGUUUAAUUUCUCUACUUUCUCAAAAUACUAGUGCAAGUGCCACCAGC
rnacentral:lncRNA from 12 species